rnacentral:lncRNA from 1 species
AAUAUAUAUAUAUCCAGGUCUGAGAGUUCUACUGUACAUUCUGGAGAUCCUGGGAUUUAAAUGUCAGGAUCGAUUUGUUUAUUUAUUGCUGGAUUUAUCCUAACUGACUGGAUAACAAAUCUAAUCAUGUUGGGUCCUACGGAAAAAAAAAAUCUCAUUAUAUAUUUUCUGUACGUUCGAUUUAACUAUACCAAGCUGUAAAUAACAAUAUUAUUUAGUAAUUACU